rnacentral:misc_RNA from 1 species
AAAUUCUAUAAUUGAAACAACCUUUGCUCACACCUCCACCACCAUCUCUCCAACAAAGGAAGCAGUAGACGCUCAAGUAGUUGGGGACAAAUUGGGGAUAAUUUUCGAAGGGCGACAACAAGCCUAUCUUGAUAAAUUAACCCAAGGUAUCGCAGCAGACCUUCGAUUAUGCAAAUCGCGCAAGUGAAGACUCCAAUAUCAACUCCUACCAACCACACGCAAAUGUUCACCAUGUUUUCCUUCCUUUCUUGGAAUUUCAGGGCUUAGCGCGUGGAGCAAAAUCAGUUCAUCUAAAAUGGUUGAUUGGUAAGUAUAAACUAGAUGUUGCUGUAAUCUUUGAAACUAAGUGUUGCUUUCUGCCUUUUUCUUUUAUUCGGAAUAUGUGGGGUAUGGGAGACUUGGAUUGGGUGACAAUUGAUGCUGUGGGCCUUUCGGGCAGCAUUUCAGUGGUAUGCAAUAAACAAUCGUUCAAGGUCAUCAAUCACUCUUCUUAUGAGCAUUUGUUUUUUAUUUCUGGGAUUCUUGUCUCUAAUCAAUUAUUAAUUUCGGUUGGGUUUAUUUAUGCUCCCUGUGAUGUUCAAGCACAACAGACUUUUUGGUUUGAGAUUUAUAGGGAAUUAGGAUCAAUAAAUGGCUCUCUUAAGCUUAUGGGUGACUUCAAUCAAUUCUUGGAUGGGUCUGAAAUGAGUAGGGGAUGGUUCUCAGCGUCUGGUAUCAAUGGGCUAAGGAAUCUAAUUUCUAAUUUGCAUUUGGUGGAUUUGGAAUUGAAAAGAAAAAGGUUUACUUGGAGGAACGCUCACUUAAUGAGUCGAAUUGAUCAUGCACUUGUCUCACAUCACUGGAUUUCUAAUUUUCCUAAUCUACUCUUGCAUGGUUUACCCAGAAAGCCAUCGGAUCAUAACCCAUUGCUUCUGUCCUCUGAAAGCAACGAUUGUUUUUCUACCCACCAUCUACAAAAUUUUACGCUGCUUUCAACUGAUGUCUGGGUGAUAAGUUAAUUUCCAUAAGAGUGUCCUCUACAAACUCAAUGUAAAUGACUCUGUAAUUAGCUCAACAGCUCUCGCAGCCUGUUAUCAAAUAGGGAAACUUCCUACAAGGUACUUGGGAU